rnacentral:lncRNA from 1 species
GGAACUCCCUGUCUCAAGUCUUAUCUUCAUAGAGUACAGGUAUGUUCAGUCACUUUCCUGUUCAAAAUGCUUCAGUGUCUUCUCCAUUCCCACCAGUUCAAGACGGGCUUGUCCAAGAAUGGGCCUCAACCUACCUUUUGAGCCCCCUGUGAGGGGCUUCGAGAGCCUUGAUUCCCACCAUGAAGCUGACUAUGACCAGAGAGUCAGUGGCACCAGGCUCCUGCCUGGCAUGAUCCUGCUAAAUCACCCACACAGAUAACACAAGGAAAACAGGCAGCAGGUUCCGAGGGAUCCAGCCCAGCCUGCUGACCGCCCAGCAUCCUGACAGCAGGAGCCUCGUCAGUGGUUAGUCUGAGAUCAUGAGAAUGUUUGGUCAAGGAGUGACCAGAGAGUUGGAAUGCGAUGGGAGAGAAGGAAAGAUAAGACUUUUAGUAAAAAUUGUCAACAGAGGCAAAGGCAUCUGUUCCGGGUUCAAAUCUCUGCCCGGCCACGUACCCCCCAUGUGACCCCAGACAUAGAACUUGGCGAUUGGCCUAUCUGCGCCGAAGUUUCCCAUCUGCACAAGGGGCGUAAUAAUGCAACUUACCUCAAAGUGUUGUUGGGAAGAUUUCACAAUAACAGCACUACUUACCAUGUGCAUUAGUCGAGCACUUAUUAUGGGCCACUAGCAUUUUAAAUGCUUUUUAAAUUUAUUAACUCAUUUCAUAUGUGAAAAUAAUCUUGCCCAGGGUACAAAGCAAGGGCUUGGAAGAUGUUAACUAUCUUUCAUAUAACUGGCAUUAAUGGUGAGAAGAGGCACUGAUUUUUUUUUUUUUUCAUCUUUCUCUCCUGACACCGAGUUGAAGCUGAUCUCAUCCAAUGAAGGACCAAGAGGCAGAGAGAAGAAGGAAGAAGAAUGACAGAGGGGAUUGGCUGAGUGCUUGUUGGGGACAUGCUCAGGUCUCUGCACCCCUCGAUCCCUCCCUCUCCAUCCCUGCGUUAAAGGACAAGUGCUUGGUCUGUGGCCAAGACGGCACUCAGCCUCCAGCAGCCAACAGCAGCUACCCAGCCAGUGAGCAAAACCAC